rnacentral:rRNA from 1 species
AUUGAACGCUGGCGGCAGGCCUAACACAUGCAAGUCGAGCGGAUGAAGGGAGCUUGCUCCUGGAUUCAGCGGCGGACGGGUGAGUAAUGCCUAGGAAUCUGCCUGGUAGUGGGGGAUAACGUCCGGAAACGGGCGCUAAUACCGCAUACGUCCUGAGGGAGAAAGUGGGGGAUCUUCGGACCUCACGCUAUCAGAUGAGCCUAGGUCGGAUUAGCUAGUUGGUGGGGUAAAGGCCUACCAAGGCGACGAUCCGUAACUGGUCUGAGAGGAUGAUCAGUCACACUGGAACUGAGACACGGUCCAGACUCCUACGGGAGGCAGGAGUGGGGAAUAUUGGACAAAGGGCGAAAGCCUGAUCCAGCCAUGCCGCGUGUGUGAAGAAGGUCUUCGGAUUGUAAAGCACUUUAAGUUGGGAGGAAGGGCAGUAAGUUAAUACCUUGCUGUUUUGACGUUACCAACAGAAUAAGCACCGGCUAACUUCGUG